rnacentral:tRNA from 1 species
GGGUGGGUUGGCUUAGUGGUUAGAGGGUAGGUCUCGUAAUCGAAAGGUUGCGGGAUCGAAUCCCGCUAGAGCUG